AGAUUUAUGAAUAAGGUAUAUUUUUGCAAAAAAAAAAGGUUCUCCCAGGACAAGGCUAGCCCAUUGCACUUUGGGUGUGCUGACGCCUGCGAUGUCCCCAAAUGCAGGAUACUCGACUGCAAAAUUUGUGGUAGUGGGGGACUGCAUUCGCGCUCUCCCCUG